rnacentral:sRNA from 1 species
GCGAGAGCGGAUCUCCAAGCCCGGCAGCCCGAGAGGAAGAUGAACAGCCCCAGCCAGAGCCUCGGGCAGAGUGGACCCCGAGCCGCCCCCAGGUAGCCAGGAGCGGCCUCAGCGGCAGCCGCAAACUCCAGUAGCCGCCCGUGCUGCCCGUGGCUGGGGCGGAGGGCGGCCAGAGCUGGGAACCAAGGCUCCGCGCCACCUGCGCGCACAGCCUCACACCUGAACGCUGUCCUCCCGCAGACGAGACCGGCGGGCACUGCAAAGCUGGGACUCGUCUUUGAAGGAAAAAAAAUAGCGAGUAAGAAAUCCAGCACCAUUCUUCACUGACCCAUCCCGCUGCCCCUCUUGUUUCCCAAGUUUUUGAAAGCUGGCAACUCUGACCUCAGUGUCCAAAAAUCGACAGCCACUGAGACCGGCUUUGAGAAGCCGAAGAUUUGGCAAUUUCCAGACUGAGCAGGACAAGGUGAAAGCAGGUUGGAGGCGGGUCCAGGACAUCCGAGGGCUGACCCUGGGGGCUCGUGAGGCUGCCACCGCUGCUGCCGCUACAGACCCAGCCUUGCACUCCAAGGCUGCGCACCGCCAGCCACUAUCAUGUCCACUCCCGGGGUCAAUGCGUCCGCCUCCUUGAGCCCCGACCGGCUGAACAGCCCAGUGACCAUCCCGGCGGUGAUGUUCAUCUUCGGGGUGGUGGGCAACCUGGUGGCCAUCGUGGUGCUGUGCAAGUCGCGCAAGGAGCAGAAGGAGACGACCUUCUACACGCUGGUAUGUGGGCUGGCUGUCACCGACCUGUUGGGCACUUUGUUGGUGAGCCCGGUGACCAUCGCCACGUACAUGAAGGGCCAGUGGCCCGGGGGCCAGCCGCUGUGCGAGUACAGCACCUUCAUUCUGCUCUUCUUCAGCCUGUCCGGCCUCAGCAUCAUCUGCGCCAUGAGUGUCGAGCGCUACCUGGCCAUCAACCAUGCCUAUUUCUACAGCCACUACGUGGACAAGCGAUUGGCGGGCCUCACGCUCUUUGCAGUCUAUGCGUCCAACGUGCUCUUUUGCGCGCUGCCCAACAUGGGUCUCGGUAGCUCGCGGCUGCAGUACCCAGACACCUGGUGCUUCAUCGACUGGACCACCAACGUGACGGCGCACGCCGCCUACUCCUACAUGUAUGCGGGCUUCAGCUCCUUCCUCAUUCUCGCCACCGUCCUCUGCAACGUGCUUGUGUGCGGCGCGCUGCUCCGCAUGCACCGCCAGUUCAUGCGCCGCACCUCGCUGGGCACCGAGCAGCACCAC